rnacentral:rRNA from 1 species
CGUGGGCACUCUAAGGAGACUGCCGGUGACAAACCGGAGGAAGGUGGGGAUGACGUCAAGUCAUCAUGGCCCUUACGGCCUGGGCUACACACGUGCUACAAUGGUCGGUACAAAGGGUUGCCAAGCCGCGAGGUGGAGCUAAUCCCAUAAAACCGAUCGUAGUCCGGAUCGCAGUCUGCAACUCGACUGCGUGAAGUCGGAAUCGCUAGUAAUCGUGAAUCAGAAUGUCACGGUGAAUACGUUCCCGGGCCUU